UACGUAGGGGGCAAGCGUUGUCCGGAUUUAUUGGGCGUAAAGAGCUCGUAGGCGGCUUGUUGCGUCGACCGUGAAAACCCGCGGCUUAACUGCGGGCUUGCGGUCGAUACGGGCGGGCUGGAGUUCGGUAGGGGAGACUGGAAUUCCUGGUGUAGCGGUGAAAUGCGCAGAUAUCAGGAGGAACACCGGUGGCGAAGGCGGGUCUCUGGGCCGAUACUGACGCUGAGGAGCGAAAGCGUGGGGAGCGAACAGG
rnacentral:rRNA from 1 species